UACGUAGGGUGCAAGCGUUGUCCGGAAUUAUUGGGCGUAAAGAGCUCGUAGGCGGUCUGUCGCGUCUGCUGUGAAAACUCGGGGCUUAACCCCGGGCCUGCAGUGGGUACGGGCAGACUAGAGUGCGGUAGGGGAGACUGGAAUUCCUGGUGUAGCGGUGAAAUGCGCAGAUAUCAGGAGGAACACCGGUGGCGAAGGCGGGUCUCUGGGCCGAUACUGACGCUGAGGAGCGAAAGCCGUGGGGAGCGAACAGG
rnacentral:rRNA from 1 species